rnacentral:rRNA from 1 species
UACGGAGGGGACUAGCGUUGUUCGGAAUUACUGGGCGUAAAGCGCACGUAGGCGGAUUUGUUAGUCAGGGGUGAAAUCCCAGAGCUCAACUCUGGAACUGCCUUUGAUACUGGGUGUCUUGAGUAUGGAAGAGGUGAGUGGAAUUCCGAGUGUAGAGGUGAAAUUCGUAGAUAUUCGGAGGAACACCAGUGGCGAAGGCGGCUCACUGGUCCAUUACUGACGCUGAGGUGCGAAAGCGUGGGGAGCAAACAGG